rnacentral:rRNA from 1 species
UACGGAGGGUGCAAGCGUUAUCCGGAUUCACUGGGUUUAAAGGGUGCGUAGGUGGGUCUGUAAGUCAGUGGUGAAAUCUCCGAGCUUAACUUGGAAACUGCCAUUGAUACUAUCUGUCUUGAAUACCGUGGAGGUCAGCGGAAUAUGUCAUGUAGCGGUGAAAUGCUUAGAUAUGACAUAGAACACCAAUUGCGAAGGCAGCUGGCUACACGAAUAUUGACACUGAUGCACGAAAGCGUGGGGAUCAAACAGG